rnacentral:rRNA from 1 species
CACGUAGGGGGGCGAGCGUUGUCCGGAUUCAUUGGGCGUAAAGGGCGCGCAGGCGGCCCGGAAAGUCGGAUGUGAAAACUCGAGGCUCAACCUCGAGCGUGCACCCGAUACUGCCGGGCUUGAGGCAGGUAGGGGAGAUCGGAAUUCCUGGUGUAGCGGUGAAAUGCGCAGAUAUCAGGAGGAACACCGGUGGCGAAGGCGGGUCUCUGGGCCGAUACUGACGCUGAGGAGCGAAAGCGUGGGGAGCGAACAGG